CUAUGGGUCUCUAUGGGUCUCUGUGGGUCUCUAGGGGUCUCUAUGGGUCUCUAUGUUUCUCUAUGGGUCUCUAUGGUUCCCUAUGUGUCUCUAUGUGUCUCUAUGGUUCCCUAUGGUUCUCUAUCGUUCUCUAUGGGUCUCAAUGGAUCUCUAUGGGUUUCUAUGGGUCUGUGUGGGUCCCGCCGUGGGUCCCGCUAUGGGUCACACGCCGUGGGUCGCGCAGGCGUCCCUGGACCAGCCGACGCAGACGGUGCAGAUGCACCGCACGGAGCCCACGGCCCAGCAGAACCUGGCGCUGCAGCUGGCCGAGAAACUGGGAGCGCUGGUGGAGAACAACGAGCGCGUCCUGGACCACAAGCAGGGCUCCUUCGGGGGAUACUUCCGAGAUCAGAAGGACGGCUACCGAAAAGGGGACGGCGGCUACCUGCGCCGUGGGGCGUACCGGCAGCAGGAGCGCUCCUCCAACUACUGAGCCCCACAGCGCUGCCCCACGGAUCGGCCCUGCCCCACGGAUCGGCCCUGCCCCAUGGAUCGGCUCUGCCCCACAGAUCGGCUCUGCCCCACGGAUCGGCCCUGCCCCACGGAUGGGCUCUGCCCCACAAUAAAGUAGUGUUGGUAGUGAGCAGUGGUGGUUGUGGUCACUUGGGGGGCGAUGUGGGGCGAUGUGGGGCGCUGGGGGGGGGGUUCUGCCCUAUAGCGCGGCCCGGUGUGGGGCACAGAGGGGUCCUGCCCCAUAGCUUGGUGUGCUGUGGGGCGCUGGGAGGGGUUCUGCCCCAUAGCACAGCGGCGUGGGGCACUGGGGGGGGUUCUGCCCCAUAGCGCGGCCUGCUGGGGGGCACUGGGGGGGUUCUGCCCCAUAGCGCGGCCUGCUGGGGGGUGCUGGGGGGGGGCUCUGCCCCAUAGCGCAGCCCAGUGUGGGGCACAGAGGGGUUCUGCCCCAUAGCAUGGCCUGCUGUGGGGCGCUGGGGGGGUUCUGCCCCAUAGCGUGGCCUGCUGGGGGGCGCUGGGAGGGUUCUGCCCCAUAGCGCAGUCCGGUGUGGGGCUCAGAGGGGUUCUACCCCAUAGCGCAACCCUCUGUGGGGCACAGAGGGGUUCUGCCCCAUAGCGCGGCCUGCUGUGGGGCACAGAGGGGUCCUGCCCCAUAGCACUGCCUAUUGUGGAGCACAGAGGGGUUCUGCCCCAUAGCACGGCCUGCUGUGGGGCGCUGGGGGGGGUUCUGCCCCAUAGCAUGGCCUGCUGUGGGGCACAGAGGGGUCCUGCCCCAUAGCGCGGCCUGCUGUGGGGCGCUGGGG
ensembl:lncRNA